GAACUGCGAUAAGUAAUGUGAAUUGCAGAAUUCAGUGAAUCAUCGAGUCUUUGAACGCACAUUGCGCCCCCUGGCAUUCCGGGGGGCAUGCCUGUCCGAGCGUCAUUGCUGCCCUCAAGCCCGGCUUGUGUGUUGGGUCGUCGUCCCCUCCGGGGGACGGGCCCGAAAGGCAGCGGCGGCACCGCGUCCGGUCCUCGAGCGUAUGGGGCUUUGUCACCCGCUCGAUAAGGACCGGCCGGGCGCCAGCCGGCGUCUCCAACCUUUUUUUCUCAGGUUGACCUCGGAUCAGGUAGGGAUACCCGCUGAACUUAAGC
rnacentral:misc_RNA from 1 species